UACGAGGGAUCCUAGCGUUGUUCGGAAUCAUUGGGCGUAAAGGGUGCGUAGGUGGCCAUACAAGUCAGUUGUGAAAGCCCCGGGCUUAACCCGGGAAGUGCUUCUGAGACUGUUUGGCUUGAGUACUAGAGAGGUGAGUAGAAUUCCAGGUGUAGUGGUGAAAUACGUAGAUAUCUGGAGGAAUACCGGUGGCGAAGGCGGCUCACUGGCUAAGUACUGACACUGAAGCACGAAAGCGUGGGGAUCAAACAGG
rnacentral:rRNA from 1 species